rnacentral:rRNA from 1 species
GACGAACGCUGGCGGCGUGCUUAACACAUGCAAGUCGAACGGUGAACCGGGCUUCGGCCCGGGGAUCAGUGGCGAACGGGUGCGUAACACGUGGGCAACCUGCCCCAGACACUGGGAUAACCCCGGGAGACCGGGGCUAAUACCGGAUACUCCGCUCGGACCGCAUGGUCCGAUCGGGAAAGCUCCGACGGUCUGGGAUGGGCCCGCGGCCUAUCAGCUCGUUGGUGGGGUAACGGCCUACCAAGGCGACGACGGGUAGCUGGUCUGAGAGGACGACCAGCCACACUGGAACUGAGAUACGGUCCAGACUCCUACGGGAGGCAGCAGUGGGGAAUCUUGCACAAUGGGCGAAAGCCUGAUGCAGCGACGCCGCGUGGGGGACGAAGGCCCUCGGGUUGUAAACCCCUUUCGGCAGGGAAGAAGCGCAAGUGACGGUACCUGCAGAAGAAGCUCCGGCUAACUACGUGCCAGCCGCCGCAGUAA